AUUGAACGCUGGCGGCAGGCCUAACACAUGCAAGUCGAGCGGAUGAAGGGAGCUUGCUCCUGGAUUCAGCGGCGGACGGGUGAGUAAUGCCUAGGAAUCUGCCUGGUAGUGGGGGAUAACGUCCGCAAACGGGCGCUAAUACCGCAUACGUCCUGAGGGAGAAAGUGGAGGAUCUUCGGACUUCACGCUAUCAGAUGAGCCUAGGUCGGAUUAGCUAGUUGGUGGGGUAAAGGCCUACCAAGGCGACGAUCCGUAACUGGUCUGAGAGGAUGAUCAGUCACACUGGAACUGAGACACGGUCCAGACUCCUACGGGAGGCAGCAGUGGGGAAUAUUGGACAAUGGGCGAAAGCCUGAUCCAGCCAUGCCGCGUGUGUGAAGAAGGUCUUCGGAUUGUAAAGCACUUUAAGUUGGGAGGAAGGGCAGUAAGUUAAUACCUUGCUGUUUUGACGUUACCAACAGAAUAAGCACCGGCUAACUUCGUG
rnacentral:rRNA from 1 species